rnacentral:snRNA from 1 species
GGGUGUGAGGAUGAUCUGUCUGUGACAUUUGUCACUCCAUCGAUCGUCAGGAGUGAUUCCGCUGAUCCGACUGGCUAGGUGGAGGUCCCCUGCUUCCCUCGCCACUCCACAUGCACCUCCCCACCCCAAAGCCAUCAAAGAGGUUGACAGUCCCUUGUUGGAGGAAGGUUGCUCUUCGGUCAAGGGUAUAUGAGUAGCUGUGGUUCUCUGCUAGAACCUUCAAAAUUUGAAAGAGAAAAGAAAGAAAGAAAAGAAAAGAAAAGUAAAAAAAAGGAAAACAAAAC